rnacentral:rRNA from 1 species
AUUGAACGCUGGCGGCAGGCUUAACACAUGCAAGUCGAGCGGGGGAAGGUAGCUUGCUACCGGACCUAGCGGCGGACGGGUGAGUAAUGCUUAGGAAUCUGCCUAUUAGUGGAGGACAACAUCUCGAAAGGGAUGCUAAUACCGCAUACGUCCUACGGGAGAAAGCAGGGGAUCUUCGGACCUUGCGCUAAUAGAUGAGCCUACGUCGGAUUAGCUAGUUGGUGGGGUAAAGGCCUACCAAGGCGACGAUCUGUAGCGGGUCUGAGAGGAUGAUCCGCCACACUGGGACUGAGACACGGCCCAGACUCCUACGGGAGGCAGCAGUGGGGAAUAUUGGACAAUGGGGGGAACCCUGAUCCAGCCAUGCCGCGUGUGUGAAGAAGGCCUUAUGGUUGUAAAGCACUUUAAGCGAGGAGGAGGCUAAUCUAGUUAAUACCUAGGGAUAGUGGACGUUAUUCGCAGAAUAAGCACCGGCUAACUCUGUGCCAGCCGCCGCAGUAA